rnacentral:rRNA from 1 species
GAUGAACGCUGGCGGCGUGCCUAAUACAUGCAAGUCGAGCGAACAGACGAGGAGCUUGCUCCUCUGACGUUAGCGGCGGACGGGUGAGUAACACGUGGAUAACCUACCUAUAAGACUGGGAUAACUUCGGGAAACCGGAGCUAAUACCGGAUAAUAUAUUGAACCGCAUGGUUCAAUAGUGAAAGACGGUUUUGCUGUCACUUAUAGAUGGAUCCGCGCCGCAUUAGCUAGUUGGUAAGGUAACGGCUUACCAAGGCAACGAUGCGUAGCCGACCGGAGAGGGGGAUCGGCCAGACUGGAACUGAGGCAGGGUCGAGACGCCUACGGGAGGCAGCAGUAGGGAAUCUGCCGCAAUGGGCGAGAGCCGGACGGAGCAAGGGGGCGUGAGUGAUGAAGGUCUUCGGAUCGUAAAACUCUGUUAUUAGGGGAGAACAAAUGUGUAAGUAACUAUGCAGGUCUUGACGGUACCUGAUCAGAAAGCCACGGCUAACUACGUG